GAAUAUAGGUACGUAUGUAACACCCAAAAGUGCGAAAGCAAAAAGGGUUCGAGUAUACUCAUAGCGAUGAUGGAUUGAAGGGAGCGCGUAGGGUGAGAUUAGCCUGAUCAGAACGAUAGCAUAACGAUAAGCGAUACGUAAUAGGGUGAGGGGUAUCAGGGGAUCGGCAGUACUCCGAUCAGAUGGCUAUCCGAUCGGGUAGCCUAAUCAAACGGGUGACAAUCCGCUCGGAUGGUCAUCAGAUCGGGUGACCUUUCGAGUGGAUUAUUUCCUCCUUUGGGAAGGAUGUGUUUGUGUAUGAUGGCUUGACUUUUGAAGUUUUUGUUGUAGCAUUUUGAAAACACAGAAGUGUUUCUACCGUUCAGGUCGAUCGAUCGAACGACCGUUCGAUCGGGCGACAAUCCGGUAGGUUGAACACUUAGUGAGAACAAGUUCACAGCAGUUAGUCACUCGAUCGGAUUGUAGUCCGAUCG
rnacentral:lncRNA from 1 species